rnacentral:rRNA from 1 species
CGCUAGCGGCAGGCUUAACACAUGCAAGUCGAGGGGUAACAGGGUGCUUGCACCGCUGACGACCGGCGCACGGGUGCGUAACGCGUAUAGAAUCUGCCUUUUACAGGAGAAUAGCCUUUAGAAAUGAAGAUUAAUGCUCCAUAGUAUUGCGACUUGGCAUCAAGUUGUAAUUAAAGAUUUAUCGGUAAAAGAUGACUAUGCGUCCUAUUAGCUAGAUGGUAAGGUAACGGCUUACCAUGGCAACGAUAGGUAGGGGUCCUGAGAGGGAGAUCCCCCACACUGGUACUGAGACACGGACCAGACUCCUACGGGAGGCAGCAGUGAGGAAUAUUGGGCAAUGGAGGUAACUCUGACCCAGCCAUGCCGCGUGCAGGAAGACUGCCCUAUGGGUUGUAAACUGCUUUUAUACAGGAAGAAACACUCGUACGUGUACGAGCUUGACGGUACUGUAAGAAUAAGGACCGGCUAACUCCGUGCCAGCAGCCGCGGUAAUACGGAGGGUCCGAGCGUUAUCCGGAAUCAUUGGGUUUAAAGGGUCCGCAGGCGGUCAAUUAAGUCAGAGGUGAAAUCCCAUAGCUUAACUAUGGAACUGCCUUUGAUACUGGUUGACUUGAGUCAUAUGGAAGUAGAUAGAAUGUGUAGUGUAGCGGUGAAAUGCAUAGAUAUUACACAGAAUACCGAUUGCGAAGGCAGUCUACUACGUAUGUACUGACGCUGAGGGACGAAAGCGUGGGGAGCGAACAGGAUUAGAUACCCUGGUAGUCCACGCCGUAAACGAUGGAUACUAGUUGUUGGGCAUUAGCUCAGUGACUAAGCGAAAGUGAUAA